rnacentral:rRNA from 1 species
GACGUAGGGCGCGAGCGUUGUCCGGAUUUAUUGGGCGUAAAGAGCUCGUAGGCGGCUUGUUGCGUCGGCUGUGAAAUCCCAUGGCUCAACUGUGGGCUUGCAGCCGAUACGGGCGGGCUAGAGUUCGGUAGGGGAGACUGGAAUUCCUGGUGUAGCGGUGAAAUGCGCAGAUAUCAGGAGGAACACCUAUUGCGAAGGCAGCUCGCUGGGACGUAACUGACGCUGAGACGCGAAAGCGUGGGGAGCAAACAGG